CUGACGCCAUUUAGAGCAAGCGGACAUAUAAACGCGUACCUUUCUACCAGGUAUCUCACAGAACGACGACAAGAGUACGAACGUUCAACACCUAUCUGAAGAUGAAACACGUCGCCCCAGUUUGCAUUGUCCUGCUAAUUCUAGGCUUGCAUUCAGCUGCACUUGCCCAUGACAGCGGAAGAUUGAACGAUAAGAAGGAACAACACGGCGGCGUACCAAAAGAACUUCCGAGGCCUAAGGAACAGAUAACCGUGACCGCCAAUCACCAGUUAAGGAAGCGCAGCUUUUGCCGUGAGCUGUUUUGUGUGGGCAAUUGUGAAUAUUACACAGGCAUCACAAAGGGACUGUGCUAUCUCGGGUGUAUGAAAAACAAAACACAGGUCCCACUCUGCCUGAAGUUCAUCUAGUGAUGACUUUAGAUUCGACAUGUGCUAGGCAUGGAACUGUGUACCCAUAAAGCUACAGCUUCGCCUUCCAGAAUGCCCGUAAUUUUCAGGUGCAAUACAAUAAACACGAAGACAAGA